UGUUCUCUUCCGAUCUUGAAGGUUUCCUGCUUCAACAGUGCUUGAACGGCAACCUUUCAUUCUUCUCUUUAAACUCCCGGAC